rnacentral:lncRNA from 1 species
GGCGCACGCAUGCGCCGUCAGCGGCGAGAGAGCGGGGGGCCGCGCCCCCUGGCGACCGAAGGGUGACUGCGCGCCCCCGCGCGGCGGUGACGUCACGUGAGGCGCACGCGCACAAAGGCUGGGGAGUGCGCGGAGGAUCAUCGGCUGCGCCUGCGCAGUUGCUGCGUGAGGCGGGAUCUGCGCCGAGUGGGCGGGGGGUUUCCUUUCCCCGCAGGGCUGGGGGUCCGCUGUUUCCCCGCGCUGCUGCCGAGGCCCCGCCGUCCGCGUCCUGGCCGUGUGUCCACACCCCAGACUGCGGGCCGGGGCGCACUCUGUCUUCUUGCGCGGAGCGUCGGAGGCCUGAGGUCAGGGCGGCUCGGGCGGGUCCAGCCCCGCGGACCGCGCCCACCCGAGGGUGGCCUGGGCAGGGACCUGGGGGUCCUGGGAGCGGAGUGUGAGCCGAGUGCAGGUGGCUCCCCGGGCAGGUCCUUCUCCUACAAGGCAGUAGUGUCUGUCGCCGGCCGGGCCGCGUUGGAUUCCGCGGCCCGCGGGAGCAUGGCCUCCAGGCCCCUCUUCCUGCGGCUGCUCUGCCCGGGAGCACGGGGCGCCCUUCAUCCCGGAGCUGGAGCUUCCUCACCCCAGGAUGCCCCAUCACUUCUGUCCCGAAGAGGGGCUGGGAUCUUCUUGGGAAGACCAGCCCCCAACAGAGGCUGCUCCCUGGGUCCCCCGACUCCAGGCCUCAGGACUCCACGGCUCCAAGGGCCUGCCCCGGCCCAGGCCUGGGGACCACUGAGCCCCACACUGGUCUUUGCUGGCCUCUGUCCACCUCCCGGUAGCUGUGUGUCUCCCACAGCUGCCCAGAGAUGGGGCCUGCGGUGCCUAUGCAGCCUCCCCGCUGUGCCCGAAGUGCUGACCCGCCAGCCCCAUGGACACCAGGCUUGGAGUCUAGGCAGGAGCCUGGCACCCCCUCCACGUUCUGGGUCUUCCUGGCGGCAGCCAUGCUGCCCGUGCUGGGCCACCCUCGGGCCCCCUUUGGCCCCAUGCAGUAGUGACGCAAGGCCUCCUGUGUCCCCUCCUGGCCCUGCACUGCUACAGGCAGAAGCAACUGGAGAACUAUGGCUCGGGUCUCGCUAAGGUGCAGCAUCACAAACUCCAGGACUCUUGAAGCAAGCAUGGGGAGGACCCGUGAUCCUGGCGGCCUGGGCUACCUGUCCGGGCCUAAGUCGCCUCUGCCCCCUCUCCUGGCUUGCUCUGGGGUCCAGGGCCUGGGCCUCUCUGGCUGAGAAACUAGGAAGUCACUGGGCUCUGUUUCCUGAGCUGGGUAUACCAAGGCCAGUCCUAUAGGGCAGGGGUCCCCAACCCCCAGGUGCAGACCAGUACCAGCUUGUGGCCCGUUAGGAACCGGGCAGCACAGGACGAGGUGAGGGAGCAUGAUUGCCCGAGCUCCACCCACUUUCAGAUCAGCCUGGGCAUCAGAUUCCCAUAGGAGCGUGAACCCUACUGUGAGCUGCGCACUUGGAUCUGGAUUGCGCUCUGGUGAGAAUCUAAUGCCUGAUGAACUGAGGUGGAAUAGUUUCAUCCCGAAACCUUCCUCCCCAACACGGAAAAACUGUCCUCCGUGAAACCUGUCCCAGGCGCCAAAAAGGUUAGGUACUUGCUGUAGGGCCACCUGAUCUUUUCUCCAGCUUCUGUGAGGUUGGCUGGCAGUCCCUGAAGACUCCUGCCUGAGGCCUCUGCCUGAACCCUGUCCUCAGGGGGCCAGAAGCAAACUCCAGCCCUCCCCGUGUCUACUGCUCGCUGAGGAAGCCGCAGGUGCACACUGGAUCCACAAGGCACAGAACCAUCUUGGCCCUCGGCAAGCCCCCGCUUCCGCCAGGGCAGACGGCCUCAGGUGACAAUGGGUUUUCCCUUCACUGGAGUUUAAAAUAAUCCAGACUCCUCAGCAACUCCUGCUUCCAGAAUCAAAAAUAAGUGUCUCUGGGGCCCAAGGUAGGGGGUGAGGGGGACAUACCAGCAGCUUCCACCAGAGGUGGGGCGGGGCAGGGCACCAGCAGAGAAAACAUGCGGGCAAACACACACGGCCUGGGGAAAACCCCCUGAAGCCAAUGGAGACUUGCCUUUGCUCAAGGCCUUUCCUGAGAGCUUAGUGGUGGGACGGGUCCCACCUGGCUCAGCACACCGCCCGCAGGGGCCUCUGCAGCUGUCAGGUCAGCUGUGGGUGCAGAAGCCGAUACUCCCCCGGCUCAGGCUUGCUGCUAUCUUUAGCACUGUGCUCAGACUCCAGUGGCCUGGGAACCCUCUGCAGGGGGCUCUGCAGCCCUUCUCACAUUCCCGGUGGCCUCGGGGGGCCUCCCAACCAUGCUUCCCCCCUCGGUGUGGUUCUCCCCACUCCUGCAGCCCAGCAGUGCCCCUUCAGGAUCACACCCAGACCCCACUGGACUGGCAGCAGGGGAUGCCCUGGCCCUUGCUCCCAGCCCCAGGGUUCCACAUCUGGUCACCUGACACCUUGCAGUCGGCCCCAGGUCCCUCCUGGGCAGGUCAUGCCUCCAGGGUCCUCAACCUCAGGAGUCAGUGCUUCAUAGAGGCCGCUGGACCUGGGGAUGGCACCAGGCAGCAUCUCAGGGGACGCCAACUGUGACCAUGUGUCCCUCAGGGGGUAGGACCUCUGCUCAAGAGACAUGCAAGUGGCACCUGUCUUUUUAGCCUUGCAGACACGGUGGCGCCCCCAGGGAUCCCACCUGCUGUUGUGGCUGCAUAUAGUCACUCCCACCACUGCCCCUGCAGCACCGAGGGGCAGGUGCCCUGGGUCCUGUUACCUACUGCGUCCCACGCAGACGCAGGCCUGGGGGGCUCCAAAAGCUUGUUCUCCACUCAGCCUGUAGGCCUCCUCCUUGAUCCUGCUUGGCCUGCAGACCCUCCUCCCACCCCUUGAACCAGGGCAUCUGGAUGCUGACUCUGUGGUGGCCUCUGAUGUCUGACACCACCAACAGACCCUGGGCCAGGUCCCUACCCCAGACUCUGUGCCUGAGGCCAUGGUAUAGUGGGGAAGACCAGGCUCAGGGCCCUAGAGUCCCCCUCCCAGCCCAUCUGAGCAACGUGGCCAUCUCCAUGGCUCCUCCAACCCAGAAAUGUCAUCACCCAUGGGCCAGGCAAGGAGCUCCCAGCCAUGAGGUCAGACGGGGUGGUCCCAGGGCCAAGGCUAUGGACUGACUUCUGUCACCAAGGCAGGGAGGGGCGUGGACACCCCUGACAGACAGAGUGUGCUUGGCAGAAGCCCGGUGACCAGCUGCAGUCACCCACAGCAGCGUUGUGCAAAUCUAGAAAAAGUGCCCCUUCCUCUGGCUCCUGCAGUUCCAGGGUGCCCAGGCCCCCAGCCAAGAGCGUGUACAGGUGGCCCUGCUGACACACAGAAUCCUUGGGAGAACAAAGCCUCCCCGGGGUUCGGGGACAGGUGGAUGGGAGGUAGUCCUGGCCAGAGGUAUCUGGGGAGGCUGGGGGCCUUGCGGGGUGAGGCAGGGCAAGGGUGUGAGUCACUGCCAGGCUGCCAAAGCUCACUCUGCAGCUGUCCAGUCCCCUGGGGUAGCCCCAAGCCUGUCCUUGUAG